AGCCUGAACGCUGGCGGCGUGGCUAAGACAUGCAAGUCGUACGGGUGUAGCAAUACACCAGUGGCGGACGGGUGAGUAAUGUAUCGCUAACGUACCCCGGACUCUGGGAUAGCUGCCCGAAAAGGGCAGGUAAUACCAGAUGACAUAUCCUUAUCGCAUGAUGAGGAUCUCAAAGGGAAACCGUUCUGGGAGCGGGCGAUAUCGUAUCAGCUAGUUGGUAGGGUAACGGCCUACCAAGGCGACGACGCGUAGCCGGACUGAGAGGUUGGCCGGCCACAUUGGGACUGAGACACUGCCCAGACUCCUACGGGGGGCUGCAGUAACGAAUCUUCCGCAAUGCACGCAAGUGUGACGGAGCGACGCCGCGUGUGGGACGAAGUCCUUCGGGAUGUAAACCACUGUCAGGGGUUAGAAAGUUCUGAUCAACCCCAGAGGAAGGCACGGCUAACUCUGCGCCAGCAGCCG
rnacentral:rRNA from 1 species